AGUCGAGCGGAGUUAAGCCCUGUCUUAGUUGGUCUUAGUGCGUGGUUAAUUGAAGUCUUUCGGGCGCGCGAGUGUUUACGGACAUAUUUAAAAACCGAACAAAUUUUUAUAUGUGCUUUUUUGGCAAUUGGUAAUGGCAUAAAUUACUCCGGAGUUUGCGUCGCUGUGUGUUUGCUCACUCUACGAUGGGAAACAUAACCUCCAAAUGACAGUUUCCUUAAUGUACUGGACUAUAUAAACAAUUUAUUUCCCAUGGAACAGUCACUGUCAAAUAUCAAUGAAGUGGAUCAUCUGUGCUAUCUGGGCGUUUAUCUACCUACCAAAGUUUGAAUUGCAAGCCUAAUAUAUGAUCAACUGGAACCUGUGGUACCAUGGCGAUCGAAUUAAAGUGAUACUAAUUGUAAGUGAAGACCGUGAAGCUGUUGGCACUUCACUUUCGAUCAUUUGCAUAUGCUAGUGGAAGGAGUAGAUAAUCUAAAAAUAUUAACACAAGAAAACAACAUGGAAAAAUUAUUGUACCAUUGCAAGGAGUGAUGCAAAUGAUUUUAACAGUUAUAUGGACAUGUCACAAGUGAAGCAAUUAUCUGAUCAAGGUUCAUCAGAUUCAGCAUAUGUUGGCCUAGCGGAUUUCAAACAGGCCUUUUCGAGUCAAAAUCCAAAAUAUUUCAACCAGUUAACGGAGGGAUGUUUAGUGUUAUCAGAAUUGCAUCCUAAAGUAAAACUCUACAUUAUCGACUCCGAGCAGGUUUGAGAGGCAGUCCAGCAUUCCCUUAAUUUAUGUACAAUUAUAGGAUGACACAGGACUGUCAUUUCUGACCCCAGUGCAGCGUAAGUACACAAGCAACGCGCCGUGUUGUAUGUGGUUGUAUACGCUGAAUGCACAUAUUAGACUUGACGCCCUUUUAUUCGGAAGCGACAAUAUUAUGAAGUUAAUUCUAUUUUUCAGGAUUUCUAUAGUGCAUGUAACGUAUUCUAUAUACAAAGCCGAAAUGCAGCUAACUUUAUAUGGCCAGACAUUCCGCGUGUAUAUACGUCUCAUCUGAACGAUUCGCGUGAAUGUUACAUCAUACAGAUUUUGUAUGGAUAUUCUUUUCUUGCAACGUCCUUUAGUAAAAGUCUGCUACAUGAUAUUUGAUAAAAGUACAUACAUUUUAUUGUAAUAAAAAUAUAAAAAUAAAUUCAUUUUUUAAUAACU
rnacentral:misc_RNA from 1 species